AGGCUGGUGAUCCCAACUUUUGAAACAUCCUUAGUAGGAUUUGGUUUGAAUAUACCAGGGACCAUUCUUCGUUUCCGGCUUUCACUCACUCAACAAAUACAAAUUCGCUACUUGGCAUGGUAUGGUUGAGAGCUAAAUGACUGAUGCCACACCGAUUAGUUUAACGAUCCUAGGGAAACAGCCAAAAAAGAGAACCAGGCACAGUACUGUUAUAAUUAACUAAUCUAGUAGCCUACCUGCAUCCUCAGCAUCUAGAAUAUUUGCACUAAGAUUGGUGAGUGUGUAAAUUUCGUUAGUGAAUACCCGAUCAAGAAAUGAAACUAAAAAAUUGUCGUUCUUCAAAAAUCCCAUCUUUCUAAUUGUA